ACAAUUUUUAUUUUGUACAUGGUGAGAGAACUCUGAAGUUUCCAGCUAAUGGCUGCUUGAAGGUACCAAGUGAAGAUGAACUACUUAACUUCAAGAUUAGUCUAAACCUAAGAAGAAUCCUGCUCUGAAACGCUGUCAUGAUAAAAGGUCAGCAGCCCAAAAUACAUGAAGAUGGACCUUCCAGAGGGCCAGCAAGGAUACUUUUGCAAAUAACUUAUGAAAGCCUCUGAUAUCAUCCUGGUGAACUGAGUAACACACCAUCAUUGUCUUAAAAAUGGAAACAUUACUUUGUGUUUAGGUGAUUAACAGUGACAUCAGGAAAACAGGCUUCCAUGGGCAAAGACUGGAAAAUAGAAUUUCCUUCUGUCUCAAGUUAAUGCAAGACAAUUAGUGUUAAUUAAAUUGCACCUGAGCUGGUAGUUGUGGAUUUGAUCAAGUGCAGAUAUCUGAACACAAAAUAUUUGUGAAAACUGAAACCAAUAUCGUCCUUAAAUUGAGGACCAUGUGUAAAGGGGAAAGAAAUACGAGACCCAAAUAUUUUGGCAAGUCCUUAUUUUUGAAAAAAUAGCUAACAAACAUGAUGGGAAGAAAUGUUUUUGUGAAUGUUAUGCUGAAGAUAAUUAGUUUUCCUAAAGACACAAGGGAGGAGAUCAGGUAAUGCAUGUUUUUAAUGAUGAUGAAUGGACUUUCCAUAGAUUACUUUCUUAAAACCUUUAUCUGUUUUGAUAACUAUCCAAGACAAAGACUCAUUUUGAUUUAAAGUUCCUUCAUCCCCUUGCAGCAAUGGUAGCAAGAAGAUUUUUUUUCUAGAAAUAUCUAGAUAUGAUAUAAUAUUUCACAAGUUUCAUAAUUAAUUAUUAUAGUCUAUUACCCAUAUUAUCCUGUUAAGAAAAUGUAGCGCAGCAAAAAAAUAAUAGGCAGCUUGAAUUUUACGUCACUACUGAGAAGUAUUUGUCACUUCCUAUGCAACUUCUGUAGCUUUGCUGCAUGUUGUCACAGUGUGGGUACAAUGAAGGAGUGACCACAGCAGAAUUGCCAAGAAAUACAGUGCAAAGCAAAUAUUUUAUAUUAAAACAAUUAAUAUAGUUGAAAAAGUUUUUUGGGCCAAAAAAAAACCCCACAAACAAACAAACACACAAAACAAAACAAAACAAAAAACACCUCUCAGAUCUGAAACAGAAAUAAACUUCAAGCCUUAAAAGAAUUAUUCACGGACUUUGAAAGGAAAUUUUUUUUACUAAAAGAAAUAAAUACAUUUUUCUAGUAAUCAGUGUAUAUGAUGUGCAGUAGUUUUACCUUUCUUGCAGACCUAUCUUGAAAUUAGCCUUAAAUCAUCCCAUUUACCAUAAUACUGUUUCUCCCAUUACAACUACAGUGGGGGCAAUUACUGAC